rnacentral:rRNA from 1 species
UUAUUAUAAGUAAAAUCUGCUCAAUGAAUAUAAAUAGCCGCAGAAUAUUUACUGUGCUAAGGUAGCAUAAUCAUUUACCUUCUAAUUAAAGGUUUGUAUGAAUGAUUUUACAUUUAAAUUUCUUUUUUAUCAAAUUUUAUUGAAUUUAAAUUAAUUAUAAAAAUGUUUUUAUAAUUUAAAAAGACGAUAAGACCCUAUUGAACUUCACUAUAGUUUAGCUGGGGAAGCUAAUUAAAUACAAUUUUAAUUUUUUUAAAAUAAAAUCUAAUAUAAUUAACUUCAAAGUUACCAUAGGGAUAACAGCGUAAUAUAAUUUUCAAGCUCUUAUUAAAAAUUAAGUUUACGACCUCGAUGUUGAAUUAAGCUUCUUUAGACCGCAAUAGUAUUAACUGUAGGUCUGUUCGACCUUUAAUAGCUUACA